GGCAGCUGAAGUGAACAAAUGGGCCGCGCGCUCUGUCGAUGAUAUUUACAGCCGACAAGACACAUUUAGCGUUCGCAGCGUGAAGUGGAAACUCAAACACACGUGGUGUGUCCAUCCCUAUUGUCCCUUUUCCCAACACGCAGCUUCGCAUUGUCCGUGAGGGAUGUUUCUCAACUUUUGUUACCGGGGUGGCUUUCCAUGGAUGGAGUUGUGACUUUUGUCAGAGCGUGAAAAGGAAGAAAAGGAACCACCACCGAAGCGAGAACCGCCGCGUGACGCCCCCUAUUUCACAGUUAAUUCAAGCUGGAUUUCAAUGUGGUGAAAAUAACUGAAGUCAACGAAAUCUCACAAUCAUGUUGAUUGAAAUUGCUGCAUUCUAGAACAGCCAGCUUCAAGAGGGUCCUGAUUCACACCCUAGCUUCAGGAUAAAUGAACGUGCAUCCCCCCUGCUGCUGGUUUGGGAAAUAAAGUGAACGCAGGUCAGUGUCCCUACCAAGCCACCCACAUUGCUAACAAGCCAUUUGACACAACAAUGAAUA